UCAUCAAGGAAGGCUCAAGUCAAAUGGUAACUAACAUAUGUGAUGAUAAUGAUGAUUAUCAACACCAUCAGGUUGACUAUUUUUGGUCUGUUUUACAUUAAGGUAUGGGAAGCUAUUGCAAGCAUGGAAAGAAGCAAAACCUUCACCAAAAACACCUGAAGAGGUUGCUAGGCUUAUUGUUGAGACCUUGAGCAGACAUCAAAAGGCAGAUGUUGAGGUAUAAAAAAGGCCCAUAACAUCAAAAAGAUUAGUUAUGUACUGAUGUUAAUGGUAUUGCAGUGAUUUUUUUUUUGUGUUCUAAUGUACUACUGUGAUUCGAGAUUGUUAACUAUUGUGUAUCUGCAGGGUCAUACACAUUGCUUUUGAAACAUAGAUCUGCUCCUAAAAUUGAUCUCUAAGGGGAGCAUUGUACCAUAAUUCGGCAUGCUCAACCCAAACAUAUGAACACCAUUUAACAAACAAAGACGUAACAUCGUAUUCAUGUCAGCCGAAUCGAAACAUCUUCAUGUAGGGCCAGAGCUCCAUUCAAAUUUUCUGAGCAUAGAUUUGCAUAAAGAUCUGUUCAGCAUGCAAAAUCCCCAUCGAUACAAUCCAUAAACUACCAAAAUCCAUUAAAAAGAAAAUAUAACUAUAUACAAAUCAGUCAUAAUAAUCUAUUAUCUCAAUAGCAAAUACAGUAACAGUUGAAAGAACAAAAGAUGAUAAAACAAAUGAUCAUCAAAGGAUACACAAAGGGAACAAAAAAUAAGCAAGUGGAUCAAAUUUAGCUCUUUUUCAAAGCAUCUAGAAGACAGCAGCUACAUCAAUUGAAAAGCUACAAAAAUGAAUCAAUUUAGGCCUUUUAAAAGCAUUUAUAGCCAUAAACAAGCAUGCAUAAAUGAUAACCUUUCGGAUAUCUUUAGGAACACCAAAGCCAUUGCAAUUCAUUUGUCCAACAAGUACUUGCAUAUGGUAUCACCAGCUUUAGCUUCCUUAAGUGCAUCAUCGAACCAUAUUUUUACUAACCGGGAAACGAAAUCCGAUCCGGGUCAACCCGGUUAUCCAUUUCCUUCUGCUUCACUUGCUCCGAACCUAUUUUGAUAUAUAAUUUUUUUAAAAAAUUUAUUUCAGUAAAAAACCCUUAAUGAUAUCAAUAAAAGUUUCACUAUUUUUAAAUUUUAAAAACGAAGUCGCCGACAAAACCAAAGGAAGGCAGGGCAUUGACCCUAUUAACCAAAUGGUUAAAUUGCUUUUUAGGCAAUGCUGAUUGAAAAGUACUUGGAAUUUUAUUCUGUAAUUUCAAAAAAGAAAAGAGUUACUGCAAGUACAAUGGAGAAGAAUAAGAAUAAUGCUUAUACCAUGAGCUUCUUCUAAGCUCUUGCUGCUCAUUUAGAAUCAGUUUAUGAUCAUUCACCAUAGUCUCUCCUUUUUCCAUUUUUGUUGUUAUUGUCGCUGUUGUUGUUACUGUUGCUAUUGCCAUUGCUUUUGUUGUUGUUUCAUGCUAUGGUUGAAGAUGAAUACAUCUAAAUCUAUGUAUUAUAAAAGCAAUAAGCAGCCAAAGAGUUGUAAGACAUACAAUGAAUUCAUUAUGUCUUAAAUUGAUACAAUAACCUGUAAUGCCACCUCCAACAUAGUAUCUCUCAUGGAAAUAUUGAAAAUAUCGAAUCCCAAUACCAUAAUGAUACGAGAAAAUAUGGUGAUUAGUGAUAUAAAGCCGUAACAAUAGUUAACUUUCUUAAAAUAGAAAUUGGAGAUUAUAGCAAAAAAGCAUAAACCACUCAUUUCCAUUGAAAACUUUUUUAUUGGCUUUAAUUGAUUAACACUCACACACGGUAUUCCAUAGUCAUAUAAUUUCAAUGAAAAAUAUGAAGUGACUGACAUGAAUGUCAUCAAGAGCCACAGUUUUGCAUCUUACUUGUCCAUACCGAUCAUCUUCCAAAAUUUCCACUCAUACAAAUUCAAGAAAUUUGAGAUGUCUGUGGUUAGGAUAACAAAGAAAAAAAAAGUCUAAGCCGAUGCGAUAGUACGUGCAAAUGUCCAAAUAAGCUGCACAAAUUCAAGAAAUUUGAGAUGUCUGUGGUUAGGAUAACAAAGAAAAAAAAAGUCUAAGCCGAUGCGAUAGUACGUGCAAAUGUCCAAAUAAGCUGCACAAAUUCUGUAUAAAAUUACGAGUCAAUACUUAAUAAUGGCAAACAAGUUUCAUAAUUCAUUCUAAAAAGGAAAAAUCAAAGAUGCAAUUUAAUAAAAUAAAGGAAUACAAAACCAAUAAAUGUUAGGUGUAGUGGUAAGUCACAUCACACUCAUAAGAAGAACAAGGUUCGAGCUUUAUUAAUAGAGACAAUCAUUAACCCGAACAUGAACUAUAAAAUAGACAUGAGAAAAACAAUAAUAAAAAAAAACGAGAAAAAAAAGAAAGUGAAUUAAAAGUCGAAAUGAAAUGGAGAUUUGAAUCGAGAUGCUGGUGGAUUACUCAUAGGAAUAGAACAAAAUUAGAAGAAUAAUUCAAAUCGGCAGAUUAUGAGCACAAAAUGAAAUUAUAUAGUUUUGUGAAUUAAUAAAAACAUAAUUUUUAAAAUAAAGAAAGAAGGAUGAACAAUGAAUUUUAGUGAAAGAGUUUAAGAGUUUGAAAGUGAUAUUGUUAACAAGAUUUUCACUAUUUUUAAAUUUUAAAAGUGGUAUUUUAAAGAUAAUUUCAACUAAAUUUAAUAUAAGAAUAUUUUAUUUGUCCCAUUAUAUUUAUUUAAUUAUUGAUAUAAUGAUUUAUUUAGUCUUUUAAUUUUAUAAAAAAAUCAUUUUAGUUAUCUAUUUAAUUUAGUCUUUUUUAGUCUUUAAACUUGUAUUUUUUUGUUAAAUUACUUUCAAAAUGGAUGAAAAAGUUAACGGUUUUUUAACUUUAUUAAUGUGACAUACACUUGGAUUACCACAUUGAUGACACGCCAUCAUUUAAUUAGUUUUUUAAAAUUUUAAAAAUUCAAAAAAAAUUUUAAAAACAAUUUUAAAAAAUUAACAAUAUUAAAAAAUUAUAAAAACUUUUAAAAAUUAAUUAAAUACUGACAUGUCAUUCAUGUGGCAAUUCACAUGUAUGACACAAACAAAUUAAUUUUUUAUUUAUUUGUUGUUGUUGUUGUUGUUUCAUGCUAUGGUUGAAGAUGAAUACAUCUAGCUCUUAGUACUAAAUUUGCAACAGAUACUAUAAAUUCAUUAUGUCUCAAAUUGAUGCCAUCUUUAACAAAGUCUUCAACCUUCAACCUUCAAGCUCCUCUUUUUUCUUUCAAGCUCCUCCUUUCUUCAUUCGACCUUUAAGUUCUCUACUUUCUGCACUCUUCUUUCAAGCUCCCGAUUACUUCAAGCUCCCGAUUCCUUCAAGCUCACUACUUUCUUCCUUCAACCCUUCUCAUCUCAUUUCUCAUACUUUCCAUUUUUUACUUCUUUCGGCCAAAAUGCCUGGAAAGGAAACUUUUGCAUGGAUAGCUCUUUUAGUAAUAGCUUAUUUUGGGGUUCUCUUCUCUCUUGCACAUUCUGCUUUAGGAGAAAACCUGUUUAAAGUCUUUGUAAGUCCAUGGUAUUACGUUCCUGUUCUGUUCCCUAUUUGACACUUGAUUCUUCUCUCUUGUUAUGUUUUACCUGCCAAUGUUUACACGAAGUUGGAAAAAUAUGAGAUUAUAAUUAAGACAUGUCUAGAGUUCGUUACCAGCUGGGGAGACUAUUUUUUCCUAUAUAAAAUAACUGCUUGAAAUGAUAUGGACCAAUAUUUUGUAUGGAUUUGUUACUUUUUAGGAGUAAUGAAUUUAUCUUCAUCUAGGUUUGCAAUACCCGAUUUUAUGUUUACAAAUACCAUAAUAUUUAUGGACCUCUCCUUUGCAUCAACGUAUUCUAUCCGUCAUAAUUUAAUUAAUAGAAUAGUAGCAUUAGGAAUUUUAUCUUUUGUAUUAUUGUUAUUACGUAAUUUCGUUAAGUACAGUGAUAACGUUUUGCAUAAUGCAAAUAUUGUUCAUCCACCGAGUGAAGGUUGCAUCUCUAUUGCACACACACAAAAAAUGAAAGCUCCUACCCCUAUUUAUAGAGUUUAGUGACCAUUGAAUUAUUGGCACAUGUCAACAUCCUUACCAUUAAUAUUACAAAUAUCUAAUAACUAGAAUGUUCAUGUAUAAUAUCUAAUCUUCUAGAUAAUAUCUUCUUUUUUAUUUUUAUUUUUUAUUGUAGAAUAUUCUAAAGAAAUUAUCUUUUAAAAGUUAACUUUAGUUUUUAUCUAGAAUUUGCAUUGACUUUCAACACUCCCUUUGAAUGCAAACUUCUUUCUACAAAUGAUUUGCAAAUCAUAUCGAGUGCUUCUCUAAACUUCUCAAACUCUGGUUUACUUAGACUUUUCAUAAAUAUGUCUGCAACUUGCUCAUUUGUCUUUGUUGCCACCAUAUUGAUCUCCUCUUCAGGGACCUCAUCGCAAAUAUUAUGAUAAUGCACUUCUAUAUGUUUUGUUCUUGCAUGAAAGAUCGGAUUCUUUGCUAGACGUAAGACUAAUAAAUUAUUGUAGAGAAGCCUUACUUGAUAGUCUGUUGGCUAAUAAAGAUCUUCCAUCAGUUGUUUCAGCCAAAUACUCCUUUGUGUCACUGAUGUUGCCGACCAAUAUUCCACUUCGGUGCUUGAUAAUGACGCUAUUGGUUGUCUAUUGCUGCACCAUGAUAUUGCUCUUGAUCCAAGGCUGAAGAUGUACCUCGUUGUUGAUCGUUACGUAUCAUAGUCUCCAGCACAGUCGACAUCACAAUAUCCAACCAACAGAUAUUCUUUUGUUUUCUUGUAUAAAAUAAAAAAAUUAAUGGUGCCUUUAACAUACUUCAGGAUGCACCGUACUGUAUUGAGAUGAGGCUUCUUAGGAUUACUCUUGUAUCGACUAGCCACUCCAACUGCAUAAAUUAUGACUGGCCAGCUUAGAUUAAGAUAGAUAAGACUUUCGACCAGCUACCGAUACAUAGUUACAUCUUCUAAAUGUUUUCCUUCAUAUACUCCUAGUUUUAUAUUGGGAUCCAUGGGAGUGGAGAUAGACUUGCAGUCAAGUAUCCCAUACCUCUAUAGAAGAUCCUUCAUGUUUUUCUGUUGGCUCAAAAAUAAUCCUUCCUUUGUGCGCUUUACUUCAAGUCUAAGAAAAUGUUUGAGUUCUCUUAGUUCCUUCAUAUGAAAUUUGAUAAAAAGAUUUUCCUUUGUUUGCUAAAUUUCCUUGCAAUAAUAUCCCGUGAUGAUUAAGUCAUCCACAUAUACUAGCAUUAUAGCUAGUUUUCCUUGAUUUGCUUUCACAAAUAACCUAGAAUAUGAAUGAGCAAUUGUAAAACCACUUUGUUUUAAGAACUCACCGAUCUUCCUGUACCAUGCUCUUGGAACCUACUUCAAGCCGUAAAGUGCCUUCUUCAAUUUGUAAACAUACUCAGAAUGGAUAUUGUUCUCGAAACCUCUUGGUUGCUCCAUGUAGAUGUCCUUGUCAAGUUCUCCAUGUAGGAAAGCAUCCUUGACGUCCAUAUGCCACAGCUUUCAAAACUUUCUAGCUGUCAAUUCUAGUAAAACUUGAACAGUUGUAAUCUUUGCCACCGGGCUAAAUUGUUGGUGUCAAUGAGCGUGCAAGUAACUGGUCCAGCUAUAGCUUUGGCAUAAGUCACGAUUCUUGCUAACCAAGCAAGAAGAAUUCGAGCAAAAAGAAAAGAAGAAGGAAGAAAACAGAAGAAGAAGCAAUGGAAUCAGUUGAGAAACUUGAUGAAAAAGAUAUGUAUUUCAUAAUUCAUCAUCAGCAUAUUGCCAUUACAUAUGAAAAACUAAAGAUGAAGAGUACAGGUCAAAAAAGACUACUAAAUCACAUACCUAACCCCACUCUAUUACAUUGAAAACAACUAAGUUAAUUGUCCAAGUUGUAUUGCUGAAAUUUCAGUCAAUCAAUCAAUGGAUUACAUCAAAAUAUUACCAACUAAGUUGAAGAAACAAACUAGAUUACAAAAUAACAAAACAUUAGUUCAAAUCCAACAGCAACAAGAAACCAAAGCUGCUGCAUGUUUGUCACGAGCUUGCAUGGCCAACUUCCAGCUGCACUAGCUUCAUACCAGCUGCAUGGAGAUCAGCUUCAACACUCCUCCUUGAGCUCCAUGUUGCAAACUCCCAUAAGUCUUCUUAGCUUGUUAAAUUUCGAUGCACAAAGACCCUUGGUCAAAAUGUCAGCGAUUUGAUCCUCCGAAUUGCAAUGAACCAGCUUUAUUUCACAAGCUUGCUCCAUCUCCCUUAUCACAUGCAACUUUAUGUCAAAGUGCUUAGUUCUACCAUGGAAGACAGGGUUCUUUACAAUUGCAACAGCAGACUUGUUGUCACAAAGUAUCUCUGUUGCUUCCUUUUGAGAAAGGUUCAAAUCUGCUAAGAUUUUCCUUAGCCAAAUGGCUUGAUUUAUUGCACUAGCAGCAGCUACAUACUCAGCCUCAACUGUCGAUUGAGCCACUAAAGACUGCUUUUUGAAACUCCAACAGACCAUUGCUGACCCCAAUAUGAAGGCAUACCGCGAUGUACUUUUCAUGUCGUCUUUGGAACCAGCCCAAUCACUAUCUGUAUACCCUUUCAAUUUCAGUUCCUUAGCCUUGCUAUAUAAGAGACCACGACUUAGAGUACCUUUAAUGUAUCUCAGUACUCGUUUUGCACCUUGAAAAUGUUGUUCAUUACAGCAGUGCAUGAAUCUAGAAAGCAAACUUACUGCAUACAUGAUGUCUGGUCUCGUUGCAGUCAAGUACAAGAGACAACCAAUCAAGCUUCUAUAGGUAGUUUCACAACCUUCUUCAUGACCCUCUUGUCUUGAUAAUUUUAAUCCAGCUACAAUAGGUGUAGGAGUUGGCUUGCAAUUCUGCAUUGAAAACUUUGUCAACACUUUCAAGGCAAAUGACUUCUGAUUCAAGAAGAUUCUUCCUUGUUUCUGGCUUACUUCCAUUCCUAAAAAGUAUGUCAUCAGUCUCAGGUCAGUCAUUUCGAACAUUUGCAUCAUCUUUGUCUUGAAUUCUGCCAAAACAACUUCAUCUCCUCCUGUCACCAAUAAGUCAUCCACAUACAAUGACACCACAAGCUGAGUUUUAGUUUUGUUUUUCUUGAAAUACAAAGUUGGCUCACUAGCACUUCUUUCGAAAUUCAAACUGAGUAGAUAAGAGUCAAUUCGAGCAUACCAUGCUAUGGGGGCUUGUUUUAGGCCAUAUAAGGCCUUCCUUAGUCUGUAAACCAAGUCUUUCUUCCCUGGUACUUUAAAUCCCUCUGGUUGCUCGACAUAGAUCUCCUCUUCAAGGAUUCCAUUUAGAAAAGCUGAUUUUACAUCAAGUUGAUGUAUGUUCCAGUUCAUUUGAGCUGCAAACCCAACAAUCAGCCUGAUUGUAUCUAGUUUGGCAACAGGAGCAUAUGUUUCAAAGUAAUCCAGUCCAUAUUUUUGAUUGAAUCCUUUUACCACCAGCCUAGCCUUCAGUUUAUUCAAACUUCCAUCAGCAUUCUGUUUUGCCUUGUAGACCCAUCUUACUCCAAUAAUUUUCCUGUUAGCAGGCUUCUCAACCAGCUCCCAAGUUUGGUUCUUCUCGAUCAUGGCAAUUUUAUCUGCCAUUGCCUGUUUCCAGCCUUCAUGCAUUGCAGCCUCUUCAGAACAUGUUGGCUCUACUAAGGCUACAUGUGCCCUCUCAUAGAUUUCAGCCAAGGAUCGGGUACCUCUGAUUGGUACAUCAUCAAAGUCCAUAUCUGGAUCAUUUUGUUUUAGCUCAGUCUGAUCAAACACAAGAUCUUCAGAGACAACCUCAGGUUCAUUCUUGUCCCAAUUCCAGCUUGCUCUUUCAUUGAACACAACAUCUCUACUUGCAAAAACCUUAUUUGUUGAAGGAUCCAAAAUCCUGUAGCCUUUCUUCUCUGAGCUAUAUCCUACCAAGAUGCCUGCUUGUGCUCUUUUGUCUAACUUACUUCUUUUAACAGCUGGUAUUUGUGAAAAACACAAACAGCCAAAGAUUAUUAAGUGAGCCAGUGAUGGCUUGAAUCCAAACCAGGCCUCAAAUGGAGUCUUUUGCUCUAAGGCUUUGGUUGGAAGUCUGUUUUGAACAUAAACAACAGUGUUAACUGCCUCAGCCCACAAGUUUUUGGGCAAAUUCUUCUUAAAUAUCAUGCAUCUGGCCAUAUCUAGCAAGCUUCUAUUUUUUCUUUCACUUACCCCAUUUUGUUGAGGUGUGUACACAUUUGUUAGUUGAUGUUUGAUGCCAGCUCUUGAACAAAUGUCUUGGAACUAAGCUGAAGUAUAUUCAGUCCCAUUGUAUGAUCUUAUUGACCUUAGUGUACAGUCAGUCUCUGUCUCAGCUGCUGUUUUGAACUUCAGGAAGGCUUGAACUACUUCAGACUUGUUCUUUAAGAAGUAAAUCCAGCAGUAUCUGGUACUAUCAUCAAUGAAAAGAAUGAAGUACCUGUUGCCAUUGAGUGACUCGGUCUUCAUAGGGCCACACAAAUCUGUGUGCACUAAUUGAAGCUUCUCUGAGGCUCUCCAAGCUAUUCUUGUAGGAAAUGGAAGCCUGGCUUGCUUUCCCAACUGACAAACUUCACAAACAUCUUCAUUUUGGACUGAUUUGAUGAAAUUUUCAGCCAUAUCCUUGCUGAUCAUUCGAGCCAUUGAUUUAAAGUUGGCAUGACCAAGCCUUUGAUGCCAAAGCUUGGAUUCUUCUAUGGAAGCAGCAUAGACACUAUUUAGCCCCUUGUUCCAGUCCACAACAAAACUCUUGUCAGUCAUGGCUACUGUCAUGAGUAUGGACCCUUUUUGGUCACUAAUCUGGCACUCAUUUCCUUUAAAGAGCACUGUAUAUCCUCUCUCAAGCAGUUGAGCUAUGCUCAGCAAAUAUCUAUCGAUUUCAGGUACAAGCAAUACAUCUGAGAUGAGUUUGUUACCUGAAGGAGUGGAUAUCAUCACAUUACUUUUGCCCUCUACUUGAAUACAUUGUCCAUUUCUAAUUUUAACUCUAGUCUUACAGCUUUUGUCUAGAGAUUUGAAGAUAGAUGCAUCUGGUGACAUGUGGUUGGUGCAGCCACUGUCAAGGAGCUACCCUUUUGUAACCUUCCCUUUUUCAGCUAAGCAUGAGACUGCAAACACUUAUUCUUCACUGUCACUACCUUGUUCAGCUACCCGAGCCUCAGCAGCCUUGUGUUGUGGUUGAUUCUGACCAGGUCUGUCUUUUUCUUUACACACCUUUUCAACAUGGCCUCUUUUCUUGCAAUGUUGACAUAUGGCAUCUGGCUUAAACAAGCAUUUUUCCUCUGGAUGACCAGGCUUCUUGCAAUGCCUGUACGGUCUAUCCCAUUUUCUUGGAGCAUCUGUUUUGGACCUAUCCCUCCAAUUUUUCUUACCUUUGUAGGCAGCAUUACUCGAGUUAGGCUUGACUUUGGCCUGAAAUGCACCCUCUUGAUGCUCCUCUAUCCUGCUGGCUCUUCUUUGCUCUUGAGCAUAGAGAGCAUUGAUAAGCUCAGUCAGGGAGAUCCUUGUCAAGUCCCUCGAGUCCUCUAAGGAGGAUAUCUUUGCUUCAUAUCUCUCUGGUAAAGUAGAUAGAACCUUCUCAACUAUCCUUACUUCAUCAAACUGCUCACCAAGGAGGCUUAUACUGUUUACAACAGCCAUUAUCUUGUCAGAGUAUUGCUUGACAGUUUCCUCUUCUUUCAUUUUCAAAUUCUCGAAAUCCCUUCUCAAAUUUAGAAGCUGCUGCUGCCUAGUCCUUUCAGUGCCUUGAAAUUCCUUCUUCAGCUUGUCCCAAGCCUGCUUCGGGGUCUCACAUGUCAUGAUCCUGGUGAAGAUCACAUCAGAAACACAGUUUUGAAUACAGGACAUGGCCUUGUGCCUCUUGGUCCUCUCAUCUGCAUGUUGCCUCAUCUGAGCCACAGUGGGAUUGGCCCUCAGUGGAGCAGGCUCAACAUCCGAGUUUACCACUUCCCACAGAUCAAACGCCUGAAGGUAUGUUUUCAUCUUGACCAGCCAAAUAUGGAAGCCUUCACUACUAAAGCCUGGUGGAGCUGCGAGAGAAAAACUUGAGGAAGCCAGUUGAGUUAUGGUUUACACACCACAUGUCUUCUAAGACAAAGGCUCUAGAUACCAAUUGUUGGUGUCAAUGAGCGUGCAAACAACUGGUCCAGCUAUAGCUUUGGCAUAAGUCACGAUUCUUGCUAACCAAGCAAGAAGAAUUCGAGCAAAAAGAAAAGAAGAAGGAAGAAAACAGAAGAAGAAACAAUGGAAUCAGUUGAGAAACUUGAUGAAAAAAAUAUGUAUUUCAUAAUUCAUCAUUAGUAUAUUGCCAUUACAUAUGAAAAACUAAAGAUGAAGAGUACAAGUAAAAAAAGACUACCAAAUCACAUACCUAACCCCACUCUAUUACAUUGAAAACAACUAAGUUAAUUGUCCAAGUUGUAUUGCUGAAAUUUCAGUCAAUCAAUCAAUGGAUUACAUCAAAAUAUUACCAACUAAGUUGAAGAAACAAACUAGAUUACAAAAUAACAAAACAUUAGUUCAAAUCCAACAGCAACAAGAAACCAAAGCUGCUGCAUGCUUGUCACGAGCUUGCAUGGCCAACUUCCAGCUGCACUAGCUUCAUACCAGCUGCAUGGAGAUCAGCUUCAACAUAAAUGUUUCUUCAUAAUCCAAUCCAUAUUGUUGAGAGAAAACUAGUCGAGCAAUGGUUGAAGAUGAAUACAGCUAAAUCUAUGUAUUAUAAAAGCAAUAAGCAACCCCUAGCUUUUCAACACAUAUGAUGAAUUCAUUAUGUCUCAAAUUGAUCACAAUAACUUGCAAUGCCACCUCCAACAAAGUGUCUUUCAUGGAAAUAUCGAAAAUAUCGAAUCCCAAUACCAUAAUGAUACGGGGAAAUAUGAUGAUUAGUGAUAUAAAGUCAUAACAAUAGUUAACAUCCUCAACAUAGAAAUUGGAGAUUAUAGCAAAAAAGCAUAAACCACUAAUCUCCAUUGAAAACUUUUUUCUUGGCCCUAAUUGAUUAACACUCACACGGAAUAUUCCAUGGUCAAGUAAUUUCAAUGAAAGAUGCGAAUUAAUUAACUAACAAGAAUGUUAUGAUGAGCAACAUUUCUAUAUCGUUCUUGUCCAUACAGAUCAUCUUCCAAAAUUUCCACUCAUACCAACAUUUGAAAGUGAUAUUGUUAACAAGAUUUUCACUAUUUUUAAAUUUUAAAAGUGGUAUUGUAAAGAGAAUUUCAACUAAAUUUAACAUAGAAUAUUUUAUUUCUCCCAUUAUAAUUAUGCAAUUAUUGGCAUAAUUAUUGGAUCAUGUAGCCAAUGCCAACAUCUCAAUUCUAGUUCUUAUGUCUUGUUACAACUUAAUACAAUUUAGGUUAGGCUUGGUUUAGUACUUUUUUUACUUCUAGCUAAUCUAAUAUUUUAAAGGUAAAAUGAACUUUUUGAUCGGAUCAAUUUGAGUUUGAAAAUUGUUUGAAACAUGAGUUAGGCCUAGCUUGGUUCAUGAAUAAUUCUAUUUGAUGGUGAUCCUUACAUUUUAAUUUAUGGUUCUUUGAAAUGAGUUAGCUAAGGUAGGUAAAAUGAUUUUUCCGAUACCUUUCAAUUUUGAUGUUGAGUAAAUUAAUCCCUCUAAUAAAUUAAAGCAAUUUAAUUCCUAUCAAUUUUGGACGUGAGCAACUAAAAAUGUGUACAUAUAAAUUGCAAUGAUAUGCAAAAUGGCCUUUUUGUAUGAAUUCCAUGGAUUUAACUAGUAGCCACAAGGUGCAAUUUUCAGGUUUUCUUACGAUUUAACGUGAUAGUAUUCGAGAUGUCUGUAAAAUAAAUAAAUGCUUACAAGUAUUAUAAAAGUUAAGAGAUCAAAUAAUGUAAAAGAAUUAAAUUUCAACUUCUAGCAUAAUAGAGGGAUUAGAAACACAAAUAAACCUUAUAAUAUCCUCCCCAGCCAAGUAAAAAAUGAAGUCACUGACAAGACCAAGGGAAGGCAGCGCCUUCGCCCUAUUAGCCAAAUGGUUAAAUUGCUUUUAGGCCCUCCCGGAAUUAAAAGAUUUAGUAAUUAAAAAAGUGUACUUGGAAUCUUAUUCUGUAAUUUCCAAAAAGAAAAGAGUUACUGCAAAUACAGUGGAGAAGAAUAGGAAAAAUGCUUAUAUCGUGUGCUUCUUCUAAGCUCUUGCUGCUCAUUUAAAAUCAGUUUAUGACCAUUCAACAUAGUCUCUCCUUUUGCCAUUUUUAUUGUCGUUGUCAUUGUCAUUGUUGUUGUUGCUAUUUUUGCCGUUGUUGUUGUCGUUGUAGUUGUCAUUGUUGCUGUUGCCGUUGCCUUUGCCUUUACCGUUGCCUUUGCCUUUGCCUUUGCAUGCGAUGGUUGAAGAUGAAUACAUCUAAAUCUAUGUAUUAUAAAAGCAAUAAGCAGCCCUAAAUUUGUAACACAUACGAUGAAUUCAUUACGUCUCAGGUUGAUCAUAAUAACUUGCAAUGCCACUUCCAUCAAAGUGUCUCUCACGGAAAUAUCGAAAAUAUCAAAUCCCAAUACCAUAAUGAUACGAGGAAAUAUGGUGAUUAAUGAUAUAAAGCCGUAACUAUAGUUAACAUCCUCAACAUAGAAAUUGGAGAUUAUAGCAAAAAAACAUAAACCGCUAAUCUCCAUUGAAAACUUUUUUAUCGGCCCUAAUUGAUGAACACUCACACGCGAUAUUCCAUCGUUAUACAAUUUCAUUAAAGGAAACAAAGGAACUAACAAUAGUAUUGCAUAGACGGACACAGCUAUCCAAUCAUCGUCCAUACCGAUCAUCUUCCAAAAUUUCCACUCAUACAAAUUCAAGAAAUUUGAGAUGCAUUGGUUAGUAUAAAGAAGAAAUAAAAAGUCCAGCUUGAUACGACAGUACUUGCAGACAUCCAUAGAAGUCUCAUGGCUUCUACAUAAAAUUAAAAAAAGUAUGAAUUAUCAAUAAGGGAAUAUAAAAUCAAUAAUUGUUAGAGGCAGUGGCAAGGUACAUUGUACUCCUAUUAAGAUAAUAACGUUUGAGCCCUGAAGAUGACAUUAUUAAGAAGGGUAACAAUGAACCCCGAACAUGAAUACUAGAACAGAUAUAAAAAAUACAUGAGAGAAGAGAGAGAAGGGAGAAAGUGAAUUAACCUCUUUCAUCUAGAGGUCUCCAUUGAGAUGUUGGUGCAAAACUCAUAGAGAUAGAACAAAAUUAGGAGAGUAGUUCAAAUUCUGCAGAUUAUGAGUACAAAAACUAAUUAUAUAGUUUUGUGAAUUAAUAAAAAUAUGAUUGUUAAAAUAAAUAAAGAUAAAGAAUGAGUUUCAAAUGAAUUUUAAUGAAAGAGUUUAAGAUUUUGAAAGAUAAAUAACGAGAUAUUGAUAAUAUUAUCACUAUUUUUAAAUUUUAAAUGUGGUAUUCUUAAGAUAAUUUUAACUAAAUUUAAUAUAUUUUUCUUAUUAUAAUUAUUUAAUUAUUGGCAUAAUAAUUUAUUUGGUCCUGCAACUUUAUAAAAAAAAAUUAUUUUAUUCCUUUAUUUAAAAUUUUAUCUCUUUUAGCCCUUAAAAUUAUAUUUUUUAUCAAAUCACCCCAAAAUGGAUGAAAAAGUUUACAUUUUUUAAAUUUUACUAAUAUGGCAUACACUUGGAUUGCAAGUGGAUGACAUGUCAGUAUUUAAUUAAUUUUUAAAAAUUUUAAAAAACAUAAAAACUAUUUUUUAAAAUUAAUAAUCAUUAAAUUAUUAAAAAAUAUAAAAUUAUUUUUAAUAUAUUUUUUAAAAUUUAAAAUAAAUAAUUAAAUACUGACAUGUCAUCCAUGUGGCAAUCCACGUGUAUGCCACAUUAAUAAAGUUAUCAAAUGUUAACUUUUCAUCAAUUAUGGAGUAAUUUUACAGAAAAAAAUGCAAGUUUAAGAGUUUUAAAAAAAGGUAAAAAAAUAAAGAGCUAAAAUAAAUUUUUUUUUAAGUUGGAGGGCCAAAAAGUCAUUAUGCCUUAAUUAUUUACUAAUACUUCGUGCUCAAUUUUUUCGUCCCUAAUUUAAUUAUUUACCAAUUAUAAAUUUAAUAAAUUCGUUUCAACAAUCAUUUUUUUGUCCCUAAUUAUGGUCGGAUCAUUUAUCUAAUAUCAACAUCUCAAUUCUAGUUCUUGUGUCUUGUUACAACUUAAUACAACUCGGUGAAAGUGAUUAUAGAUGCUGUGUUAUCUGAUUUAUCAGUUUGAUUCGCUUUGAAAUAGAUUUGAAUUUCGUAUAUUUUAUUUCGGAUCAAUUCAAUUCUUUUGAAAGUAAAAGAAUUUUUUAAUCGGGAAAAUUUCAGUUUAAAAUUGUUUUGAAACAAGACUUAAAAUGGUAGGUUUGGAUGGGCGAUGUGGUGUGUUUGGUCUACUUUUUUAUCUCACGUUACAAUAUCGUUACGACAUCUAAUCUCAUUAUCACUGCUGUUUUUAUACUAAUUGCAGAUAAAUGCACGGCUUUUCCAAACUCACCUUUAAAAUUAACUUGAUUCAUAAAUCAUUUUAUUUGGUGGUGGUUCGGAUAGAAUCUUACAUUUUAAUUUACAGUUUGAUUGAGAUGAGUUAGCUACAUAACAUUAGCUAUGGAGGUUAAAUGAUUUUUUUUUCUUUUUAAUUUUAAUCUAAAAUGGUAGAAGACAUGAGAUACGCAGAAAAUCAAGAAGCAGUUCCCAAGAAGAGAGGAACCUCUGAUACCAUGUUAAGAAUUCUUCAUACUACAUUUCAUAUCAUAAGAGGUUGCUGUACAUUACAUUUAUAGCAUGAAGGCUAUAACUGCUGAAUAACUGCGAACUAACAACCUUAACUGCUGAAUAACAGCUUCUUUAACUACUAGUCUAACAUAGAUGCACCAGAGAGUUCAAUACCAUACGGAAAAGAAGCGAAAAAAGAGUUGGUUAAGCUUGUUGGUGGGAAAUGCUUACGAGUUCUCGUCUAUGGGGAAGAUCGAUACGGCCGUUGCGUCAGAGAUAUAUAUUGCAAUGGAAAAUUCGUACAGGAAAUUAUGUUGAAAAAGGGGCUUGCAUGGCAUUACUCUGCUUAUGACCAACGUAUAGAACUAGCAACUGUGAGUAACCAACAGAUCAAUUCUCCAUUCCUGCACUUGUUUCAAUCAAAACUUGAAAAAACUGUCAAAUUCUAAAUGCUAUGUAAACUAGUGGGAAAGGAGGCUUGAGCAAAGCGGGUCGGUUUAUGGGCUUUACCGAAUCCUGAGAAGCCAUGGGAAUGGAGAAAGGACAAACGACAAGGCAGAUGACGUCGUCUGACACCUUGAAUGAACCACAUUUGACAUGUACAUGAAGGAAUAUGGGUGCCCUAUAACUUGUACACAAGACCAGGGGAAUCUACAAACCAUUUGAACAUGGUCAAUUUGGUGUUUUAUUCUGAUUUUAGAAAGUGUUGUAACAUAAUUUGAUCAAACAAUUAAAUCUUGUAACAUAUAUAUUUUAUCAAUUUGAUUCUUGUAAAAAUCUAUAAAACUCUUAACGUGUCAGUUACCAAAAUGUACCUGAUAAUAUUUAUCAGUUUAAAGCAUUAAAAAACGAUUCUUGUGUCAUUAAAACAUGUAUAUCAACGGUAAAAUCUAGGGUAAAAAAUUAUUUUAUUAUGAGUUAGAUUGCAUUGCAUCUGCUUUAGUAAAAAAAAAGAAUAAAUUAAUCAUUAUAGAUUAGAUUAAAGAAUAAAUUAAUUCUUUCUAUUAAACUAUACAUUAAUAACAUGAGACUAAUUUGCAUUUUUUUAUUAAAAAAAUAUAAAAUACAAUCUAAUUUUUAAUUUACCAAAAAUCUAUUAUUACUAUUAUGAUGAUGAUGAUGAUAUAAGAGCUUUGACGUGACGAGAUACUAUGAAAUUUUUUGAGUAAAGGCCAGUAGUACCAAUAGGAAUCUGCAAAUGAAAUUCAUUGGAAGCGCCUUCGACCAUAAAAAAAAAAAAAGCCCACUAUAAGUCUUUCUCCAUCCUUGCUUUUCUUCCAGCUUUCUCUUACCCCAGUCCUCAAUAUCUCCUCUGUAGUGCUUCAGCAAAUGUUUUGGAAGCUAGGAUUUUUCAAGAUGGGAAACGCUCUCAGGCUCCUAUAUGGGAAAUGUUUUCAGCCCUUCACCACUGGGGAUUCUGAUUCAGUAGGGCCACCUUAUACCACUACAGCUCCUGCGGUUUCAGCUCUUGCCCAUGAUCUCUUUAACUUUGAAAUCACAUCCCAGGUAAUGAUUAUUUCUGUGUGUUCUCUUUGUUGAUCUUUUUGAGCUGAACAAAGCUUAUCUGUUUGUUUAAAAUUGGAAACUGGUUUCUUCAAGGUCCCUGAAGCUCUCAGUCAUCAUGUUGUUGUUGAAAAGUCAAAAAUGGUGGGAGGUGCAAUUGGCACCGAAAGAAGAAAGUAAAAAGUGGUUGGCAAGUUGAGUUUAAAGUUGAAUGGUAUAAUUGCAAUUUUGGUCCCUAAUUUUUUAGGCCAUUUGCAAGUUAGUCCCUGAACCUCAACUAUAAAUAGGCCUAACCAUUUCUCAUUUCAACCAUCCCAACCAAUCUUUCUCUCUUAGUUUUCUCUCUUCUCCCAUUUGAGAAUUCUUAAGGAAUUCUAUUUGUUUGUAAUACUUUGGAGAUAGUAAAGUUAUCAUCUGGUGUUAGUGCCCGAGGACGUAGGUAUAAUUUACCGAACCUCGUUAAAAAUCUUGUGUUCUUUCUUGUCCUAUUUUUCUUUCAAUAUUUGAGGGUAUAAUAGUAGUAUUUAAUUGUGCUAUUAAAUUACUAUAGAAGGGAUAUUCUGUCUAAGGAAAGACUUGGUAUUUAAGAGAUCCAUGUGAUCCACCUCUCUUCCCUGGGAAUUGAACUUUGUGUGAUUUUUUAGUACAAUAAUUUACACACUUCCGACCCUAUUGGAACAACAAGUGGUAUCAAGAGCCGAAGGUUAAUCGUAGUAUGCUCUGUGGUUGCAGUUUAAACUGAUCUUCCACAUCAGAAAAGAUUUCCUUAGGUAUAUUGAAAGAUUAUGGAGAAAACGGUCGGUGUAGGAGCUUCAACAUCGUCCAUGUGGACAAGACCGACAAUUGCAAAUGCAAGAUUGGCCGUGGAGAUCUUUGAUGGCACGGGCCAUUUUGGUAUGUGGCAAAGUGAGGUUCUAGAUGCCCUUUUUCAGCAGGGUCUAGACAUUGCCAUUGAUGAAGAGAAACCAGAUGAUGUACAGGAGAAAGAUUGGAAGGCGAUCAAUCGGUUGGCAUGUGGCACAAUUCGAUCAUGCCUUUCUCGAGAGCAGAGAUAUGCUUUUUCAAAUGAGACUUCUGCAAAUAAGUUGUGGGUGGCACUUGAAGAAAAUUUUUUGAAGAAAAAUAGUCAAAAUAAGCUCCACUUGAAGAAAAGACUGUUUCGCUUCACAUACGUCCCAAGUACCACAAUGAAUGAUCACAUCACCAAAUUUAAUCAGUUAGUCACUGAUUUGCUGAAUAUGGAUGAGACAUUCAAAGAUGAAGAUUUGGCUUUGAUGCUGUUGGGGUCACUUCCUGAGGAGUUUGAGUUCCUAGAAACUACUCUACUUCAUGGCAGGAGUGAUAUAUCUCUGAGCGAAGUCUGUGCGGCCUUAUACAGUUAUGAACAGAGAAAGAAGGACAAACAGAAAAACUCAAUCAGAGAUACAGAAGCUUUAGUAGUCCGAGGUCGUUCAUACACUUGGAAGAAAACUCAAAAGGGGAGAUCAAAGUCAAAGUCCAGACUCGGGAAAGAUGAAUGUGCUUUUUGUCAUGAGAAAGGCCACUGGAAGAAAAAUUGUCCAAAGUUGAAGAAUAAGGGAAAAGCUGCUGUUGCUAAGCAUGAUACUAGUGACUCUGAACUAUCACUGGUUGCAUCAUCAUCGUCGUUCCAUUCAGAUGAGUGGAUAUUGGAUUCGGGUUGUACCUAUCAUAUGUCCCCUAACCGGGAGUGGUUCUCUAAUUUAGUAGAACUAAAUGGAGGAGUUGUUUAUAUGGGCAAUGACAAUGCCUGUAAAACUGUUGGGAUAGGUUCAAUCCAAUUAAAGAAUAAAGAUGGAUCAACCAGAGUUCUGACUGAUGUUCGGUACGUGCCCAGUUUGAAGAAAAAUCUCAUCUCAUUGGGAGCCUUGGAAUCCAAUGGUUCAGUUGUUACUAUGAGAGAUGGGGUUUUGAAAGUGACAUCUGGUGCACUUGUGAUAUUGAAGGGCAUCAGGAAAAAUAACUUGUAUUACUACCAAGGUAGUACAGUUAUUGGAGCAGUCGCUGCAGCUUCCGGUAACAAAGAAUUGGACUCAAUACAGUUGUGGCAUAUGAAGUUGGGACAUGCCAGCAAAAAAUCCUUGCAAAUUCUGGCAAAGUAAGGAUUGUUGAAAGGUGCAAAGGCUUGCAAAUUAAAAUUUUGCGAGCAUUGUGUUCUGGGAAAGCAAAAGAGAGUGAAAUUCGGUACUGCUAUCCAUAAUACAAAAGGUAUUUUGGAAUAUGUUCACUCAGAUGUGUGGGGACCUUCCAAGACACCUUCAUUGGGAGGAAAACACUACUUUGUUACUUUUGUUGAUGACUUUUCCAGAAGAGUUUGGGUGUAUACCAUGAGAACUAAGGAUGAAGUGCUUAGAGUUUUUCUUAAAUGGAAAACUAUGAUCGAAAACCAGACUGGCAAGAAAAUCAAGCGGCUUAGGAAGGACAAUGGAGGGGAAUAUAAAAGUGAUCCGUUCUUCGAUGUGUGCCAAGAGUAUGGUAUUGUUCGACACUUCACAGUUAGGGAUACACCACAACAGAAUGGAGUGGCAGAGCGUAUGAAUCGAACAUUGCUGGAGAAAGUUCGAUGUAUGUUGUCCAAUGCUGGGUUGGGCAAGCAAUUUUGGGCUGAGGCUGUGACAUACGCUGGCCAUCUUGUUAAUCGUUUGCCAUCAUCUGCAUUAGAAAGAAAAACUCCUAUGGAGGUAUGGUCUGGAAAACCGGCUACAGAUUAUGAUUCCUUACAUGUGUUUGGAACCACUGCAUAUUACCAUGUGAAGGAGUCAAAGUUAGAUCCGAUGGCAAAGAAAGCUCUCUUUAUGGGAAUCACUUCUGGAGUGAAGGGAUUUCGUCUUUGGUGCUUAAGCACAAAGAAAAUUAUCUGUAGCAGAGAUGUUACCUUUGAUGAAUCUGCCACAUUGAAAAAGGUAACAGAUAAAGAUAUUCAGACGAGCAAUACUCCACAGCAGGUGGAGUGUACUCCAAAACAGGUGGAGUUUGAGCAGAUGGGGAUUUUCCCAGUUAAUAAGUCUAAUUCUCCAGCCACAAUGGAGGAAUUAGAGGUUGAAGAGGUUCUGACCCAAGAACCACUAAGUACACCAGAACCAGUUGCAGUUGCAAGGCCACGGAGAGAAAUUCGUAAACCUGCUCGAUUUACUGAUAUGGUGGCCUACGCCCUUCCCGUUGUUGAUGAUAUUCCUAUCACUUAUCAAGAAGCAAUGCAAAGCUUAGAAAGUGAUAAAUGGAAAAGCGCCAUGGAUGAAGAAAUGCAGUCUCUCCGGAAGAACAAUACUUGGGAGUUGGCGCAAUUACCGAAAGGUAAAAGGGCAAUCGGAUGCAAGUGGGUAUUCGCAAAGAAAGAUGGAUCUCCUAGCAAGAAGGAUAUUCGCUACAAGGCAAGAUUGGUAGCUAAAGGCUACGCUCAGAAGGAGGGAAUUGACUACAAUGAUAUAUUUUCCCCUGUUGUGAAGCAUUCCUCCAUUAGAAUUUUGUUGGCCUUGGUAGCACAGUUGAAUUUGGAGCUAGCUCAACUUGAUGUUAAGACGGCUUUCUUGCAUGGUGAGUUAGAAGAGGAGAUCUAUAUGACUCAGCCAGAAGGAUACACAGAUGCUGGUGGUAGAAAUUGGGUUUGUAAGCUUAACAAAUCGCUAUAUGGAUUGAAGCAAUCCCCGAGGCAGUGGUACAAGCGAUUUGAUAGCUUUAUGAGAAGGCAGAAGUACACAAAAAGCAAAUAUGACAAUUGUGUAUAUUUGCAGAAGCUACAUGACGGAUCUUUCAUUUAUCUACUCUUGUAUGUUGAUGAUAUGUUAAUCGCUUCGAAGAGCCAAAAUGAGAUAGAUAAGCUGAAGGCUCAGUUGAAUCAAGAGUUCGAGAUGAAAGAUCUAGGUGAGGCCAAGAAGAUUCUCAGUAUGGAGAUAAGUAGAGAUAGACCGAGAGGCAAGCUCUGUUUAAAUCAGAAGCAAUAUCUGAAAAAGGUAUUACAAUGUUUUGGUGUAAAUGAAAACACAAAACAUGUAAGUACCCCACUUGCUUCUCAUUUGAAACUUAGUGCUCAAUUAUCUCCGAAGACUGAAGAUGAAAGAGAAUAUAUGGCGAAAGUCCCAUAUGCUAAUGCAUUUGGGAGUUUGAUGUAUGCGAUGGUGUGUACGAGGCCUGACAUUUCACAAGCUGUUGGAGUUGUGAGCAGGUAUAUGCAUGAUCCUGGAAAAGGACAUUGGCAAGCUGUGAAAUGGAUUCUACGGUAUCUUCGAAAAACCGUAGAUGUUGGUUUAAUUUUUGAACAGGAUGAAGCACUUGGUCAGUUUGUAGUUGGAUAUGUUGAUUCCGACUUUGCUGGUGAUUUAGAUAAACGUCGUUCAACUACGGGGUAUCUGUUUACUCUUGCGAAAGCCCCAGUGAGUUGGAAGUCUACCUUACAGUCUACAGUAGCUGUGUCUACUACAGAGGCAGAAUAUAUGGCAGUUACAGAAGCUGUUAAGGAGGCUAUUUGGCUUAAUGGAUUAUUGAAAGACUUGGGAGUUGUUCAAAGUCACAUUAGUCUAUAUUGUGAAAGUCAGAGUGCUAUUCAUUUAGCGAAAAAUCAAGUCUAUCAUUCAAGAACCAAGCAUAUCGACGUAAGAUAUCACUUUGUGCGGGAAGUCUUUGAAAAAGGAAAAAUUCUACUUCAGAAGAUUCCGACAGCAGAUAAUCCCGCAGAUAUGAUGACCAAGGUGGUAACAACAAUCAAGUUUAAUCAUUGUUUGAACUUGAUUAACAUCCUGAGAAUUUGAGCACCUUUAGGUGUAUGGCGCUCGAGAGCGCAUUUGGAGGCACUACAAAAGAUAGCUUUAUCAAAUUUGGGGAGUUGAAGGAAGUGUGUGAAGAUGUGAUUAUCCUAAUCAAAUCUUCAAGGUGGAGAUUGUUGAAAAGUCAAAAAUGGUGGGAGGUGCAAUUGGCACCGAAAGAAGAAAGUAAAAAGUGGUUGGCAAGUUGAGUUGAAAGUUGAAUGGUAUAAUUGCAAUUUUGGUCCCUAAUUUUUUAGGCCAUUUGCAAGUUAGUCCCUGAACCUCAACUAUAAAUAGGCCUAACCAUUUCUCAUUUCAACCAUCCCAACCAAUCUUUCUCUCAUAGUUUUCUCUCUUCUCCCAUUUGAGAAUUCUUAAGGAAUUCUAUUUGUUUGUAAUACUUUGGAGAUAGUAAAGUUAUCAUCUGGUGUUAGUGCCCGAGGACGUAGGUAUAAUUUACCGAACCUCGUUAAAACUCUUGUGUUCUUUCUUGUCCUAUUUUUCUUUCAAUAUUUGAGGGUAUAAUAGUAGUAUUUAAUUGUGCUAUUAAAUUACUAUAGAAGGGAUAUUCUGUCUAAGGAAAGACUUGGUAUUUAAGAGAUCCAUGUGAUCCACCUCUCUUCCCUGGGAAUUGAACUUUGUGUGAUUUUUUAGUACAAUAAUUUACACGCUUCCGACCCUAUUGGAACAACAGUUGUAUCAUCAAGGGAGGCUCAAGUCAAAUGGUAACUAACAUAUGUGAUGAUGAUGAUAAUGAUGAUGAUGAUCAACACCAUCUGGUUGACUUUUCUUGGUCUGUUUUACAUUAAGGUAUGGAAAGUUAUUGCAAGCAUGGAAAGAAGCAAAACCCCCACCAAAAACACCUGAAGAGGUUGCUAGGCUUAUUGUUGAGACCUUGAGCAGAGCUCAAUAUCAAAAGGUAGAUGUUGAGGUAUAAAAAAGCCAAUAGUAUCAAAAACAUUAGUUAUGUACUCUGUUAAUGCUAUUGCAGUGAUGCUUUUUGUGUUCUAAUUUACUUUUAGGGUUUAUUGGAAUUCUAUGGCCUUCCUCAUCCUUCUAAUUUAGCGGAAAUUUCUACUGGUGUCCCGACAAGAUUGCCUGAAUUUGUGCGAUUUCAAGGUGGGACAAGAUUGCCUGAAUUUGCACGAUUUCAAGGUGGGACAAGAUUGCCUGAAUUUGUGCAAUUUCAAAGUGGGACAACAUUGCCUGAAGAAGUGAAAUUUGAAAUGUUUACAUUACCAGUGAGGAUAUUAAAUGCCAUUUCAAUAUUGUUCAAGGGAGAUUGCUCUCUGGGCCAGUCUUGAAUCCUCAACGGUGAAGGUAUUGUAGUCGAGCUGUCUAGUCUUGAUUAUCCUCAAGUUUUAUCUUCUGUAAUUCGAGAAGAAACAAAUUAAAGAGAUUCACAAAGUUUAGGAAGUGUCUCGCCACCAAGAAAAUGUUUAGUAUUUAGCCGUCAAAUGCUAAACAUUUCCUUGGUGGGGAAAUGCUCCUAAGUUCUGUGAACUUUUGGGGCUCGCUUCAGGCUACAAGAGACAAAAACCCGGGGGUAAUCGAUAAUAGACAUUCUGAGUAUAAUACCUCAGCCGUUGAGGUCCGAAACUGGCCUAAAGAGCAACCUCCCCCUCAACAAGUAUACAUAUUGGAUUUGAUAAUUUCGAUGCUGUAAAACUUCUUUAACUUAAUCAGGUAGUGGGGAAGACAGUACCAGAUGGGGAUGGUUUAAAUGUGUAUGUGGAUACUGAUGAUCCUAGGGAGUCCUCAAACAUACCUGGAGACGUUCUUAUGGCUGCGGAUCAAAGAUCAGAAGCACGUGCGAUGAAAAACUAUGCCAUAGCCGAUGAACUUCACCAGAAGAUUAUUAAAUCAGGAUACCGGUUAGCUACAUUCAACUUGUCAAAUUUUUAGUACUACUGUGAUUUGAGAUUGUUAAUCGUUGUUUGUCUGCAGGGUCAUAGACUUUCAAAACGAAGAGAUUCUUGCUCGAAAGUAUCGGAUUCGACUGAGGUAACAUUAUCUGUUUGAAGGACUUUUAUGUUCUAUAUUGUAACUUGUUGAAAGCAUAUAUACAGGGGUAUAGAUGCACUUGAGAUGUUGAUGCCGUUCGGAGAAAAAGCAAAACAAGAGUUGGUUAAGCUUGUUGAUGGGAAAUGUUUGAGAGUGCUUGUCUACGGGGAAGAUCAAUACGGUCGUUGUGUUGCAGACGUAUAUUGCAAUCACAUUUUCGUGCAGGUAGAUACCCUUUUCGUAAGCUUCAAUUCGGUUUACCCGAUAAGAACGAUUAAUCCGCAAAUCUGUUACUUGAACAGGAAGUAAUGCUAAAGAAAGGACUCGCAUGGCAUUAUGUAACCUACGACCAACGGGAUGAAUUCGUAGACGUAAGUAAACAACAAUCCUGUAUGUUCUUGCACAUCGUUGAGUUAAAACUUGUGACUAUUGUCUUUGUAUGUAUGUAAUAUCAGUGGCAAAAAGAGGCUCGGGCAAAGAAAACUGGCCUUUGGGAACAAUCAAACCCGGAGAAGCCAUGGGAAUGGAGGAAGAAGAACAAACGAGAAGGUAGGUAACACUGUCCUUAAGGAUCCAUAACAUCUUGAGAAGUAAUAAAAGUACACAAUUAUCAUAUUUGUGUAAAGGACCAUGUUCGAUCCAUUCCUAUAUCUCUUGUUUGUAUGCCAUGCUUAUUAUUAUCAAAUGAUUGUCAAACAUAUAUAUAUAUAUACAUUACUUUUGAAACAUGGAUGUGCUCCUAAAUUGAUCUCUAAGGAGAGCAUUGUACCAUAAUAUGGCGUGCUAGCUCCACUCAAACAUAUGGACUCCAUUUAACAAAGACAUAACAUCAUAUUCAUGUCCGCCAAAUCAAAACAUCUUCAUGUAGGACCAGAGUUCUAUUCAAAAUUUCCAAGCACAGAUUUGCAUAAAGAUCUGUUCAGCAUGCAAAAUCCCCAACGAUGCAAUCCAUAAAAUACCAAAAUCCGUGAACAGGAAAAAGAAAGUAUAUUCCAUUAAAUGAAACUCCUUUACAUAAACAAAUCAGUCAUAACAAUCUAUGAUCUCAGUGGCAUAUACAGCAACACUUGAAAGAACAAAAGAUGAUAAAAAACAAAUGAUCAUCAAAGGAUACACAAAAGGAACAAAAAAUAAUCAAGUGAGAGUGUGAAAAGAACAGAAACCACAUCUCUAUUUGGCAAAAUAAAAGCAGCAAGUGAAGAAGCAUCAUGACCCACAACACCGCAAAAGCAAUUAUUGUUCAGUAUCUAUCAAAGAAAGGAUGAAUUAAUAAAGGAAUACAGGUUAUAUACCUUAAUUUGCAUCAUCCUUCAAUUCAUUAGAAUCAGAGCCACUAGCAUCUUAAUCGGGGAAACUUUAGUAUGAAAUUAUUUUGAAACAAGUCUUAAAGGGUAGGUUUGGAUGGGUAAUAUGGUAGGUUUGGUUUAUUUUUUAUGCUACGCUAGAAUAUCGUUAUAAUAUCUAAUUUCAUCAUCACCGUUGUUUUUAUACUAAUUGCAGAUAAAUGUACCGCUCAUCCAAACUCACCCUUAAAAUUAACUUGAUUCAUAAAUUAUUUUAUAUGGUGGUGGUCUGAAUGGAUUCUUACCUUUUAAUCUAUAGUUUGAUUAAGAUGAGUUAGUUACAUAACAUUAGCUAUGGAGGUUAAAUGAUUUUUUUAUUCUUUUUAUUUUUGAUAUUGAGUAAAUUAGUCCCUCUAACAAAUUAAAGCAAUUUAAUUCUUAUCAAUUUUGAACGUGAGCAACUGAAGACAAUUAAUCACAAUAGUAUAAUUUUUUUUGUCGAUUGUAUAUAUUUUUAAUUAGUAUAAUAAUAAAUUUAACUCUUAAAAUUUGCACAUUAUGCCAAUUUCAUCUUGAUUUAAUAAAUUUGUCGUAAAAUUUACAUAUUCUUAUCAAUUUGAUUAAUGAUUUAAGAAAUUUAGCUUGUAAUAUUUAUACAUUUUGACAACAUUUAUAAUUUAAAAAUUGUGUAAAAAAUUUAACACGAUGAUUAAUUGUAUUUAAUAGUUUUUUUUCGAAAUUAACAAUGAUUAAAUUCCUCUAAUUUUGUUAAGAAUAUCAGCAUUUGGAGAGAUGUUUUUUUUGUCUACUGUAUUUGCUUGAAUAUUAAAAUUUUCACUAAGCUGCAAUUAAACAGGUAAAAGACGACAGAUAGAAAAUAGCCAUAAUCAAUGUCCGUUGCUUACAACCUACGGCAAGGAUAAAAACCCCCCGUUGACUGUGAAGUUUAGCUUCAAUUAGUUCUUAGAUUUCAUCCAAAAUUUCAUCAUCCACCAAUCACAACUCGCCACGUGUGUGUCUCCUUUGUUUGUUAAUCAACUUCUUAAAGCUAUCAUCAGAAUUCAGAUUCCUUGCUUCCACUUAGAAUGUUACUUCUAACACCUUCAAAACCAUACAACUUUUUGUCUUGUUUCUUGUUUUUGAGCUUCAUUUUACCCUUGAUUCUUGGUUUCUUCUGUCUUCCAAGAGAGGAUUUGAAAAUGGGGAAUGCUCUAACUUUGCUGUACGCCCAUUUCUGCAAACCAACAACCACCGCCGGAGACGCUGGAUCCUUUGGCUCCCACGGUGGCUCAUCGGCCGACGGUGGCGUUUCAGCUCUUGCUCAUGAUAUCUUCCAGUUUGAACUCACUUCACAGGUAGUUAAGUUUCCUUUACCAUUACUGCUCUAAUUCUGUCAUGUUUUGCUUAUAUUUUUUUAUCAAAUUAUGGUUUUGGUUUAAGAUGUUGUAUUCUAAUGAUGUUAUUAGUUAUUAUAAAGUUAGCAUAGCUAAGUCUUUUAGUUCAAACGAUAAUGAAAUAUAGUCAAUAGUAGUAUUGUCCAUGGGUUAAGCUAGAUCAACUACUUUUAUUUCUCGGAUUAGUUAGAAUUCAAUUCUAAUAAUUUAAAAAAAAAACUUUUAAAUUUACAUUUACAUUUAAUUUUGAUUUUAAUUUUAAUUUUUUUUUAAAAUUUUUGAACAAUAAAAUGAGUUGAGUUGGAUCGACUCAAAAAUAGUCUAGACUUGAAUUUUUAAUCGGCCCAACUUGACUAGUAGAUAAAUCUAAGUCAUUAGAAAAGGUUUUUUUUUGUGUGUGUGUUUAAAUACUAUUGUUUUAAUUGAAAUAAUUUACGGUGUAAUUAUUUGAAAUAGUUAAAUGACAUAAAUAUAGGGAUUAUGUCUUGAACUUAAGCAUAGUAAAGGUCAGGGGCGAAGCCAUAACAAUUUUUUAGGGGCGGAUUAAAUUUUAAUUUUUUAUAAUUUAUAUCUUUAUAAUUUUAAAAGGAUUAAAUCAAAUUUUUAUAAUUUUAGGGGGGUUAAAAGUGAAAUUUUAUCUUUACUAAUUUAAUUUUUUUAAAAUUAAGGGCCUAAAUAAUAAUUUUAUAUUUUAGGGGGGUCGGAGCCCCUGACAGCCCCUUAGAUUCACCUCAGGUAAAGGUACUAAACUCAUAAUUUAGCCAUUUUAUCAACUUGCAUUAAAUUUUAAAUUUUAAAAAAAUAUAUUUUGGUUUACUAAUUGAAUUUUAGUUCGAUUGGUAUAGGCAUUGUUGUUAAUGUAGGAGAAUGUGGAUUCAAGUGCGAUGAAGCAUAUUAUUUUCCUAUUUACGGGUUGAGAAGGAAUUAUAAUUAGUUUUAAAUCUUUCAAAAAGAGCAAAUCUAAUAAGAGAUUUUAAAAAUAAAAAUAAUUUGGUUUAAUUUUAAUCAUGAUUUUGAUUGUAUUGCCCAACCUAUUUUAGGUUCCUGAAGGGCUAAGCAACCAUGUGGUUUCAUCCAAGAAAGCUCAGGCCAACUGGUAAUAAUUUAUUAAUUAAUUAAUUUUAUAAUCUCAACUAAGAUGAUAUUUUUUUCCCUUAAUUUUGUAAGGUAUAGAAAGCUAUUAGAUGCUUGGAGUGAAGCAAAACCUCCACCAAAAACAUCCGAGGAAGCUUCAAAGUUUGUUGCUGACAAUUUAAAGGAACAUCAAAAGGCAGAUGUUGAGGUAAUAAAGAACAUAGAUCUUAAAACAUAAUUGACAUUUGCCACAAUUUUUGUUAGAAUUUAAGAAAAACAGGACAUUAAUGCAUUGUAGAUAUGUUUUGUAGGGACUUUUGGCAUUUUAUGGUCUGCCUCUCCCUCAGACACCUGGCCAGUCUUCUGCUAACUCCCAAACAUCAUUGCCUCAAGGAGUUAAGUUCGAGUUCCAGACUUUACCGGUAAGGACGCUUCGAUCCAGCCCCAAACUUCAUGUUUUCAUUCAGUUAACGGUUUGAACCGAUUGAAUUAGGUGGAUAUGAAAGCAAUACCAGAUGGAGAUACCAUAACUGUGUAUGUAAGUACUACUGAACCCUGGGAAUCAUCCAACAUACCUAAGGACGUACGAGUAGCAGCUGCUCAAAGAUCGAAAGCAUGUGCCGACAAGAAUUAUACUAAGGCAGAUGCACUUCAGAAGAAAAUUACUAUUUCAGGAUACAGGUAUUAAGCUAUCAAAUCUUCUCAUAUACGAUAAAUGCCCGUUCGGGAUCGGUUUCUAACAGCCCUAGCUUGUUGCUAUAGGGUGUUGAAUGUUCGGAACCAGGAGAUUCUUGCUCGAAAAUACCGAAUCCGGCUAAGGUAACACAUUUAUUUGUUUAAUGUUCAAUGUUCAAUGUUUUAUCAGCUAAAUGUCAAUCUAAAAUGUGGGAUAGGGGUAUAGAUGCACCAGAGAGCUCAAUGCCAUACGGUAAAGAAGCGAAAGAAGAGUUGGUUAAGCUUGUUGGUGGGAAAUGCUUACGAGUUCUCGUCUAUGGGGAAGAUCGAUACGGCCGUUGCGUCGGAGAUAUAUAUUGCAAUGGAAAAUUCGUACAGGAAAUUAUGUUGAAAAAGGGGCUUGCAUGGCAUUACUCUGCUUAUGACCAACGUAUAGAACUAGCAACUGUGAGUAACCAACAGAUCGAUUCUCCAUUCCUGCACUUGUUUCAAUCAAAACUUGAAAAAACUGUCAAAUUCUAAAUGCUAUGUACUUGUAUGAAAUUAGUGGGAAAAGGAGGCUCGAGCGAAGCGGGUCGGUUUAUGGGCUUUACCGAAUCCAGAGAAGCCAUGGGAAUGGAGAAAGGACAAACGACAAAGCAGAUGACAACGUCUAAUACCUUGAAUGAACCACAUUUGACAUGUACAUGAAGGAAUAUGGGUGCCCUAUAACUUGUACACAAGACCAGGGGAAUCUACAAACCAUUUGACCAUGGUCAAUUUGAUGUUUUAUUCUGAUUUUAGAAAGUGUCAGUAACAUGUAACAUUUGUUCAAACAAUUAAAUCAAGUAUUGUAACAUAUAUAUUUUAUCAAUUUGAUUCUUGUAAAAAUUUAUAGAACUCUUACCGCAUCAGUUAUCGAAAUGUACUUGAUAAUAUUUAUUAGUUUAAAGCAUCAAAAGGCAACUCUUGUGUCAUUAAAACAUGUAUAUCAACCGAAAAAUUUAGGGUAAAAUUUUUUAUUAUUAUAAGUCACAUUAUAUUUCAUCUCCUUUAGUAAAAAAAUUAAACAAAUUAGACCCUAAAUAUUAGAUUAAAGAAUAAAUUGAUUUUUUUUAUUAAACUAUACAUUAAUAAAAUGAGACUAAUUUACAAUUUUUUUAUUAAAAAAAUAUAAAAUACAAUCUAACUUUUAAUUAACCUAAAAUCUAUGAUGAUGAUGAUGUAAGAGCUUUGAGGUGACGAGAUACUAUGAAUUUUUUUGAGUAAAGGUCAGUAGUACCAAUAGGAAUCUGCAAACGAAAUUCAUUGGAAGCGCCUUUGACCAUAAAAAAAAAAAGCCCACUAUAAGUCUUUCUCCAUCCUUGCUUUUCUUCCAGCUUUCUCUUACCCCAGUCCUCAAUAUCUCCUCUGUAGUGCUUCAGCAAAUGUUUUGGAAGCUAGGAUUUUUCAAGAUGGGAAACGCUCUCAGGCUCCUAUAUGGGAAAUGUUUUCAGCCCUCCACCACUGGGGAUUCUGAUUCAGUAGGGCCACCUUAUACCACUACAGCUCCUGCGGUUUCAGCUCUUGCCCAUGAUCUCUUCAACUUUGAAAUCACAUCCCAGGUAAUGAUUAUUUCUGUGUGUUCUCUUUGUUGAUCUUUUUGAGCUGAACAAAGCUUAUCUGUUUGUUUAAAAUUGGAAACUGGUUUCUUCAAGGUCCCUGAAGCUCUCAGUCAGCAUGUUGUAUCAUCAAGGGAGGCUCAAGUCACAUGGUAACUAACAUAUGUGAUGAUGAUGAUGAUAAUGACGAUGAUGGUCAACACCAUCUGGUUGACUUUUUUUGGUCUGUUUUACAUUAAGGUAUGGAAAGUUAUUGCAAUCAUGGAAAGAAGCAAAACCCCCACCAAAAACACCUGAAGAGGUUGCUAGGCUUAUUGUUGAGACCUUGAGCAGACAUCAAAAGGCAGAUGUUGAGGUAUAAAAAAGGCCAAUAGCAUCAAAAACAUUAGUUAUGUACUGCUGUUAAUGCUAUUGCAGUGAUGUUUUUUGUGUUCUAAUUUACUUUUAGGGUUUAUUGGAAU
rnacentral:lncRNA from 1 species